rnacentral:rRNA from 1 species
GAUGAACGCUGGCGGCGUGCUUAACACAUGCAAGUCGAACGGAGAAAGGGUAGCUUGCUAUCUUUUCUUAGUGGCGGACGGGUGAGUAACGCGUGGGUAACCUGCCCUUUGCAGGGGGAUAACAGUGAGAAAUCACUGCUAAUACCGCAUACCAACUUCUUUCGCAUGAAGGAAGUUUGAAAGAUUUAUCGGCAAAGGAUGGACCCGCGUUGGAUUAGCUAGUUGGUGAGAUAACAGCCCACCAAGGCAACGAUCCAUAGCCGGCCUGAGAGGGUGAACGGCCACACUGGGACUGAGACACGGCCCAGACUCCUACGGGAGGCAGCAGUGGGGAAUAUUGCACAAUGGGCGAAAGCCUGAUGCAGCGACGCCGCGUGAAGGAUGAAGGUCUUCGGAUUGUAAACUUCUAUCAGCAGGGAAGAAAGGGCCUAUGGCCUAUGACGGUACCUGACUAAGAAGCCCCGGCUAACUACGUGCCAGCAGCCGCGGUAAU